rnacentral:lncRNA from 1 species
UUCCAUUCUGCAAAGGCCUUGAUGUGAUUCAACAGGCUCAGUCCGGAACCGGGAAAACAGCAACCUUUUGCUCGGGGAUUUUGCAGCAACUUGAUUAUGGUGUUGUCCAGUGCCAGGCUUUGGUUUUGGCACCUACCAGGGAGUUGGCACAGCAGAUUGAGAAGGUUAUGCGAGCACUUGGUGACUACCUUGGUGUAAAGGUUCAUGCUUGUGUUGGUGGGACAAGUGUUCGUGAGGAU